GACGAACGCUGGCGGCGUGCCUAAUACAUGCAAGUCGUACGCUUCUUUUUCCACCGGAGCUUGCUCCACCGGAAAAAGAAGAGUGGCGAACGGGUGAGUAACACGUGGGUAACCUGCCCAUCAGAAGGGGAUAACACUUGGAAACAGGUGCUAAUACCGUAUAACAAUCGAAACCGCAUGGUUUUGAUUUGAAAGGCGCUUUCGGGGGUCGCUGAUGGAUGGACCCGCGGUGCAUUAGCUAGUUGGUGAGGUAACGGCUCACCAAGGCCACGAUGCAUAGCCGACCUGAGAGGGUGAUCGGCCACAUUGGGACUGAGACACGGUCCAAACUCCUACGGGAGGCAGCAGUAGGGAAUCUUCGGCAAUGGACGAAAGUCUGACCGAGCAACGCCGCGUGAGUGAAGAAGGUUUUCGGAUCGUAAAACUCUGUUGUUAGAGAAGAACAAGGAUGAGAGUGACUGUUCAUCCCUUGACGGUAUCUAACCAGAAAGCCACGGCUAACUACGUGCCAGCAGCCGCGGUAAAAC
rnacentral:rRNA from 1 species